ACCGUUCUCGUUUCAUUCGUGUCUUUUAAUUGUGCUAUGUUUGAAGAGUUAGUUUGAAGAUUAUACUGCAAAGAAAGCUGGAAAAUAAUGCAGAAAACUAGAAACAAAAAAUUGUCUGUGACGAAUGAAAAAUGAAGCGAUGAAAAAUAAAUGAGCUUUGUAACGAAUUCAAAUUAUUUAAUUCAAUGUAAGUGUUUAUACGAUUAAUGUGAUUCAAUGUAAAUAUUAUUAAAAAUAUAAUAGUGAGGAGAAAGGCAACAUAGAAUAGUUGUGCAAAAUUGUUAAAAACAAAAAUAUUUGUAUCUAGUAGCAAUGAUAAAUGUAGUUGAAGAUGGAGGAUGGAUUGACCGAGUUCGAGGAUAGAGCAAUCAGGACAAUACUUGAAUUGAAGAUAAAUUUCCGUUUGACCAUAAAAAUUUUGCACCGUAGUUCAUGAUUUUCUUCUCUAUUCAUUUCUCACUACGCCCUUUUCUUCGAUCUUCCCUGUUUCGUUAUAAUCAGACUCUUCGAUAACGUUUGCUUGCAUAUGGGAAGAACAGAUAUUUUUUCAAAAAAACAAAAAAAAAUUUAGAUUAUAAACGAUGAAAGAUUAAAAUGGAGACAAUACAAAUCAAAUCUCAAUGACAAAAUUAAGUAAUUAUAAAAAAAUUGAAUAAUAAUUUUUUUUUGCAAAAGGAAGAAAGGAUCUGCAUGUAUGGUUCGCUAUAUGCAUUAUAAUCUGCGACGAAUUGGCGAAAUGCCGUGAACUAGAUUCAUACUUAACGAAUAAUUAUAAACGAAUUCGUUUAAGAUAGUGGCUAAACUUAGGCAACAGCUAGCGAGCACAAAGUUCGCGGUCAAUCGAAUUCAAGCAAUUCAAGGUGAACCGAUAACCCCGACAUCAAGAACGAGGGCGUGUUAGUAAUAUAUUUUCUUACCAACAAAUCCACAGCAUUCCCAGCUGAUAUUCAGCUCAACAAACAAUUAUCAACGCCAAUGAAUAAGCGUGUCGACGAAAAGAGAGCAAUUCUGACGAUUAGAUGAAAAAGGAAAGAUGAAAAGAAAGUAAGAAGGAGGAACGUCGCGCGAGUCGACUGGUAUACUGCACACGCGAUCUUUGUAAACGAAUCAGCGCCCAUACAAUUCUGCCCAACGCGCUAUCCGAUUCUCGUUACAAUUCGACCGACGAAUUUAUAAUGCGAAACAUUCUCGUCGAAACACCGUAGAACUAGAUAAGUUUCAUCAAUUUGACGAUUUUUCUUCUAUCUCUCUUCUUCUCUUAUCCUCUUUCAAAGGAAAAGGCAUCUCAUGUAAACUAAUAAAUAGAAUUUUCUAAUCAAAUAUAUAUAUAUAUAAAAUGAUACUCUCGAGAUGAUACUCUCUCGAAAAUUGCUAAUUCAAUAUUUUUUUAAUAUGAUGCAAUGUAUUUCCGAUUAACUUUCUUUUUGAUAAUCAUUUAAUGAAUAAUUGGAAAGAGAAAAUGAAAAAAUUUGUAUAGUAAUAAUAAUAUAGAUACUAACCGAGUAUACAUCCUUGUAUAGUUGGGAUGGGAAAAAUAUAGAAAUUUUCCAAUCAUCAAACAUCGAAUAUUCGAUGCACGUUCAACUACUUAAUCAAAUGAUAAAUAAAUUAUAUUAUCGAAUAUGUACAAUUAUUGACGAAGUGAAUAUAACGAGAUAUCAAUUUAAC